GACGAACGCUGGCGGCGUGCUUAACACAUGCAAGUCGAACGGUGAACUCCGCUUGCGGGGGGAUCAGUGGCGAACGGGUGAGUAACACGUGGGCAACCUGCCCUCAGCUCUGGGAUAACUCCAAGAAAUUGGGGCUAAUACCGGAUAUGACCGCUGACCGCAUGGUCUGGUGGUGGAAAGAUUUAUCGGCUGGGGAUGGGCCCGCGGCCUAUCAGCUUGUUGGUGGGGUAGUGGCCUACCAAGGCGACGAUGGGUAGCCGGCCUGAGAGGGUGACCGGCCACACUGGGACUGAGACACGGCCCAGACUCCUACGGGAGGCAGCAGUGGGGAAUAUUGCGCAAUGGGCGAAAGCCUGACGCAGCGACGCCGCGUGGGGGAUGACGGCCUUCGGGUUGUAAACCUCUUUCAGCAGGGACGAAGCGAAAGUGACGGUACCUGCAGAAGAAGCACCGGCCAACUACGUG
rnacentral:rRNA from 1 species